rnacentral:rRNA from 1 species
AGUGAACGCUGGCGGUAGGCCUAACACAUGCAAGUCGAACGGCAGCACAGUAAGAGCUUGCUCUUACGGGUGGCGAGUGGCGGACGGGUGAGGAAUACAUCGGAAUCUACUUUUUCGUGGGGGAUAACGUAGGGAAACUUACGCUAAUACCGCAUACGACCUACGGGUGAAAGCAGGGGUUCUUCGGACCUUGCGCGAUUGAUUGAGCCGAUGUCGGAUUAGCUAGUUGGCGGGGUAAAGGCCCACCAAGGCGACGAUCCGUAGCUGGUCUGAGAGGAUGAUCAGCCACACUGGAACUGAGACACGGUCCAGACUCCUACGGGAGGCAGCAGUGGGGAAUAUUGGACAAUGGGCGCAAGCCUGAUCCAGCCAUGCCGCGUGGGUGAAGAAGGCCUUCGGGUUGUAAAGCCCUUUUGUUGGGAAAGAAAAGCAGCAGGUUAAUACCCCGCUGUUCUGACGGUACCCAAAGAAUAAGCACCGGCUAACUUCGUG